UAUCCAAGGUCAACUGCAUUCCAGAAGUGCAUGAUUCUCCUCCUGAGCAUACAUAGCCUGACAAACAUAACUUAGUGCUACGGUCACAGUGCCUGUUAUUCACCUCACUUGUCUCAUCACAUAGGCAUUUUCUUACAUCAUCACAAGAAGGCAUCAAGAAAGCAAAUGGAAGCUUUGUAUUUUGGGCAUGGAAUCCACAACAUACAUGUUCAAGGCAAGAAUCAGGAAACAGAAGAUCCUAAGAAGCUCCCCUAUCUCUUGUGACACAGUCAAUAUAGAAUGCAGUGGAAGUUCUUGGUUCUUACAACUCCUGUGGACUGAGUCCUCAGAAGAGGAACUGGCACCUUAUGACAACAUCUAUGGUGAUAAGGAUAAUAAGAGAAGAAUUUGAAGAUAAAAAUCAAGAGUUUCAUUUCAAAUAGAUUUAACAUUGAAGUGUAUAUUACAAACCAAGUGAAGAUACAGCUCUGGACUUAAAUGGCAUGGCUUAGAGUUUUAUAGCAUAUAGAUAGAGGGUCAACAACCAUCCUGGUUUGCCCUGGACUGUCUCCAUUGUAAUGUUCAAAAUCUCAAGUCCUGGGAAUCCUUUUAGUGCUUGGCAGACUUGGGGCAGUGGUUCACCCUGUGUACAUGAUAUUUAUACUGUGGAAUUGGAUAAGAGCAACCAAGGAGAUCACACCCAAUGUUUGAAUCAGGCAUAUAUUAAGAGGGGAGAGAAUCUUAAAAGGUUAUAACCAGUGACGUAGAUAAGUGGAAGAUAGCAAAGUGUCAAAUAUCUGGUACUAAGGGAAGAGAGGAUGUCAAUGAAAGAAUGCUGGUGGAGGGUCAAUUAAGAAGAAGACAGAGUAGAAUAUUUGGCAAGAUGGUGGUCACAAGUGACCUUAACACGAAAAGACUUGAGAAUGAUGGGGGAAAACCUAUAGUGUAAGUUGAAGAAAGCAGAAGGGCAGAAAACAUGAUUAGCAGGUGCUAAAAGAAUGAUCCCUGCCACUCUGCGCCGAAGAAUAGACAAAUGGUUAGUGCUUAAAAGAGACUGGAGAGAGUAUAAAGGGUUGUUUAUGAUUCAGUGUUAGGAAGUGAAACUACUACAGGGGUGUAGGAGGUUUGGGAGCAUUGGAUAUCCAUAUGAAAAUUUUAGUAUAUAUUUUAAAGUUUUCUUCUUUCUAGUUGGUGAUCUUCUACAAUUAUACUCAGCUUCUCAGAAGCAGGCAUGAAACAUGUUUUAAAAUGGAUUCAACUAGUGUAUGCAUUUUUUCAGUGGAGGAUGCUAGAGAAAACAAAGAGAGGCAAGCAAUAAUUAAAAGGGGAUAAUUUCAGUUAGAAAACAUGGACUCUAGGCCAGGUGAAAGAGGGAACAGGACACAGAAAUAGAGAGUGAAAAGCAGAAUCAGUGUUUUAGAUGUUUUGCUGAAUUUGAAGGAUGUAGGCUGAAAGAACAGCAGGUGGCAACCAGAGAAAAGAGUGUUUGACUUUAAGAUCUCAUUUAUGAUGAGUUGCUGCUGGUGCAGUAUGGGCAUCACUGUUUGGGAAGGGGUGGAAGAGCAGGUGAUUAAAGAUUUAGAUUUAAUUAUAAAUCUGAAAUGCCCUCUUGCAGGGGAGGCCUAGAUUGCUUCGCUUUUUCUUUAAGGAGGUGUUGUUGCACUUAAACAUUCCAACCCUUAAAGCUCAAAUGGCACAAGCAAUUUUCACUUUUGAAAUUAAAUUUUUUAUACUGUAAGUGCAUGGCGAAAGGCUUAUGUAACAAUCUUGCAUUUUAAGACAAAUAUUCUUUUAUUUCUGUUAAACUGAAUAUACAAUUGUUCCCUAGGCUACCAACUUUUGCUUACAACUACAAUUCAAUUUCACAUUAACAAAAACACAGAUGGUGAAAAGACAACUUUGUGAAGAUCUAAUUACAAUAAUAAAUAAAAGAAUUUAUACAUGGAGGAGGGGAAGGAUCUGCAGGAAGGGAAAGGAUCUGCAGGAAGGGGAAGGAGGAGGGGAAGGAUCUGCAGGAAGAUGAAAUGGUUCGUCUACAUGAAUCCUGAAGUCACUGAGAAUGACGCAUGAAUAGGAAUGAAGAGAAAGAGAAUGAGCCCAAAGCAAAUUUGAAGGAGUGACUCAGUCAGUACAUGGGAAUAGAAGAGCGGGUGAUUUAGUCUGAUGGUGCAAGCUUCAAACAGGAGGGACGGAUUCACACCCAACUGCUUCCCAUCUGGUCCUAUGGUCUAUGGGGUAUGACAGAAAAAAAUCCUUUGCUUCAUACUGUUGCAAGGAAAAUGGUGUCCUCGGGACUUAAGAAGUCAAAGAUAAUAUUCAGAGAAGAGUUUGAAGUGAAAAGGGAAUCCCAGGAUGACAUACUGACUGCAUCAUCUGUAGGACCCAGUGCAAAAUGGAAAUGUAGGAAAUCAUGUCCAAAAAUCCGUUUGAACGUCAAGAUGGUGACAGAUGAACAUUACAUCAAAUGUGGGCCCUCAUAAAUGUGGGGUCCUGAAGGACUGAACAGGUCACAUGCCUGUGAAGCAGCUGCUACCUCUUUCGGGGUUUCAUGUGGCUAGGAAAAAAGAUUUGGAAAGGCGGGUAGCAUUUGGUCAGAUUAGGAGAUAUACUGUAUUUCUCUGUUUGGAAAUGCUAUGUGCAUAAAUGCUUAAACACUAUUAUCAUUUAAUCCUUCUAAUAGAUGAGGUAAGUACUAUUUCCUCAUUUUACAGAUAAGGAACAUGAAGCACUAGAAAUUUAAGUGAUUUGCCCAAGGUUGCCAAUAAGUGGUUGCUAGUAAGUGACAGCCGGUUCUAGAACUGUGUUCCUAACUAGCAGCCUCUGGAGCCUGUCAGCAGUCCGAGAAAUAAUAGAUGGUUUGGGAGACUCAGACUUUGGGUUGACCAAAGUGAACAGGAGUGCAAAAUGUGAUAGUAUUAGUCCUCAUUAAGUCCUUAGAGAAAGAGAAGAAUCAGCUGCAAAGUACAGUUUUUUGUUUCAUUUUUCUUUCAACUAUAUUGAGGUACAAAUGACAUGUAAAUUUCAAGAUAUUAGAGUAUACAUUGUGAUGGUUUGACAUACAUUGUGAAAGGUCCCCACCCCGCCCCCAUCUGUUUUGUUAACACAUCCAUCACUUCAUAUAUUUUUUUUUUUGUUUGGUUGUUUUCUGGUGAGAACAUUUAAGUUCUGCUCACUUAGCAAAAUUUCAUUUACAAUACAGUGUUAUUAGCUGUAAUCACCAUAUUUUACAUUUGAUCCUCAGACCUCAUGGGUCCAAAGAAAAUGAAAAUAGGUAUCAAAGAGGUCUCUGAAAAAAGAGAUAUGUUCUUUGCAUCAUUAUUUACAAUAGCCAAGAUAUGGAAAUAAGUGUCCAUCCAUCAACAGAUGAAGAUGUGAUAUAGAUGUUUUAAAUAGAUAUACAAUAGAAUAUUAUUCAGCUAUGGGGAAGAAGAAAAUCCUGCCAUUUGUGGCAACAUGAAUAGGCCUUGAAGCAUUAUGUGAAGAGAAAUAAUCCAUACAGAGAAAGAUAAAUACUGCUAGAUAUCACGUAUACAUGGAAUCUUAAAAGAAAAAAAAGUCAAAAUCAUAGAAACAAAAAGUAGAAAAAUGAUAUCCAAAGGCUGGAGGGUGGGGGAAAUAGGGAGAGAUUGGUAAGAGGGUAUAUAAAUUGUCAACUACAAGGUGAAUAAGAUCCAAGAAGCUAAUGUGAAACAUGGUGACUGUAACUAGUAACACUGCAAGAUAGUUUUUAAUACUUAACAUGUGAGUUAUUCACAGUUAUCUCUCAUGUUCUACUUUCUAAAGAAGAAAGAUACUUUCUUGGAAAUGCACAUUUCAAACAAAGUUUUAUAAGCAGAAAUAAUUUGAUUAAAUUAUUGCUAAAAGUUUGAGAAACAAAACUGGAUAAAUGAAACCAUUAUUGACAGAAGUGCCACAAAAGGAAAAAAAAAAGUCCUCCCAUGUGAAUGAAUUUUUAUACUUUGAAAAAAUAUUUAUAUCCCUUGGGAAAAGUUGUGAUCUAAUGUCUUAGCACUUUGAUUUGCUUUGGGUCUUUACUUAAGAACCCAAUAAUCCUACCCUGUACUACUUAGUUUGGAUGCAGAAUUAUUUUAUUUAUGACUAAAUCUUAGUUUAUUCUUUGUCUCCCGACUAUUUGACACUGCUAUGUGUGUGAGGGAUUGGGGGAAGAAAAGAUGCAAUUAAUUUCAGUCCAACUGAUUAUUUACCAAUGCUUUUUGAAAAAAAAGACACAGCUGGUUGCAUGAUUUAUUGGCUUAUGUAAUCUAUGUCCUUAUUGAAAUAUGAAUUGAUUAAUGUUCUCUGUCAAACUUUAUUUUUGUUUUAAUAGGCCAAUUAUAAAUACAAGUUUUGGUCAGUUUGGUAUAAUCCAAGGUAGAAAACAAAGAACAGCUAAGGAGUGGGCCUUCUAAUGUUUUUAGGGCAUUCCCUGAAGUCUACCACUUUUUUUUUCCAGCUCUGCAUUUGAGAUGAAUGGAUCUGUUUGCACAGUUGUAUAUGUGACACCCGGUAAUGGCACAGAUAGGUUAAAAAUGAAAGAAAUACACUCAGUCUCUUCCAUUUUCAACAUUAAUGAAACAGAGGGCAGCCCCAGUGGCUCAGCGGAUUAGCGCUGCCUUCAGCUCAGGGCACGAUCCUGGAGACCCAG